rnacentral:rRNA from 1 species
UACAGAGGUCUCAAGCGUUGUUCGGAUUCAUUGGGCGUAAAGGGUGUGUAGGUGGCGCCGUAAGUCGGGUGUGAAUUUCGGAGCUUAACUCCGAAACUGCAUUCGAUACUGCGGUGCUUGGAGGACUGGAGAGGAGACUGGAAUUCAUGGUGUAGCAGUGAAAUGCGUAGAGAUCAUGAGGAAGACCAGUGGCGAAGGCGG